UACAGAGGAUGCAAGCGUUAUCCGGAAUGAUUGGGCGUAAAGCGUCUGUAGGUGGCUUUUUAAGUCCGCCGUCAAAUCCCAGGGCUCAACUCUGGACAGGCGGUGGAAACUACCAAGCUGGAGUACGGUAGGGGCAGAGGGAAUUUCCGGUGGAGCGGUGAAAUGCGUAGAGAUCGGAAAGAACACCAACGGCGAAGGCGGCUUCCUGGACUCAUACUGACACUGAGGUGCGAAAGCGUGGGGAGCAAACAGG
rnacentral:rRNA from 1 species